rnacentral:lncRNA from 1 species
CCGGAUGUCUUUUGAAAGAAAGUUGUCAUGUAUCUGGAACUCUGGAAGGGUGUCGGUGAAAUUGUCUUCAUCCAUAGAUGCCGUUAAAUCUUAUGAACAUCCUCGAGGACUUUCCCAGAUCAAGACUUCAAGAGAAGAUAUGGAAGUGUUGCUACUUGCUACACAGAAAAUCAACUUUCUAGCACAAAAUGUCAAGAAAUGCCUUAGGGAAAAAGACUGGAUACAUCCUAUAAAAAAUUAAAAAAAAAAAAAACACAAAACAAAGAUGAAAUUGAAAACAGGAUACCAUGGUUGAAAAACACAAAACAAAGAUGAAAUUGAAAACAACAUCCUAUAAAAAAUUAAAAAAAAAAAAAACACAAAACAAAGAUGAAAUUGAAAACAGGAUACCAUGGUUGAAAAAUAUUAGGACGAGAGCAUGAAAACAAAAUUGGGUGUACUUCAUAAAUAUUUAAUACUCAACUCUGAAAUUA